rnacentral:lncRNA from 1 species
AGGAAGUAGCUGAUGAAGAAAUCGCUUCCCUUCCCCGGGAUAGCUGUCCUGUUAGAAUCAGAAAUCGGUGUGUUAUGACGUCCCGUCCACGAGGUGUAAAGCGGCGCUGGAGGCUUAGUCGUAUCGUCUUCCGUCACUUAGCCGACCACGGGCAGCUGUCUGGGGUCCAGCGAGCAAUGUGGUAAUCAGCUCCAGAACCUAUUGAACUUGCAAGGAAACCAGUUCUGGCAAGAGACUUUUCUAAUAGACAAAAAGCUUUUAUGAGGGUGCAGAAUAGGAGUCUAAUCUACCAAAUGCUGUCUGUAGUUAAAUUACUUUUACAUUUUAAAUGAAGAAAUUUGAAUGUUUCCUUCUGUCAGUGAAUUCUGGCUGUGAAUUAUCUUUUCUCUUGGACUUAAUAAACAUCCUGUUACCAGGCAUAGGGCAAGGGAUAGAGUAAUAAAAAAAUAUUUCUAUGAAAGUAAUGCUCUGUAUGCUUGUCUUUUCCUUCGAGUUUUUAGUCUUUUAGCAAUACAAAAGGGUUCCUGUAUUUUUUAAGAGCGUUAUUUUAUACAGCAAUAUUAUGUUGUAGGUAAUCCAACUCAAUUGGUAUGUAGCAAUUUUUAAUCAUGAACUGGGUACCUUGACCAGCACAGCUCAUUUAUUUAAUUGUUAGGCAAACAAUACAUUGGAAGGUAAAGCUGAUGUUUUGAAUUAUCUAACUAAUGCUCAAGUUCUUUAUGUAAUAGCUAAACAGAGGCAGAACCACUAAUCAUUUUCUUGUUCCGUCUUCAAGGAUCCUUAGAACAAAAUAUGUCUCUUUAAGCCCUGAAAAUCUAUCCAAAGAGGAAGAGUUUUGCUGGAAUAGUAUAUUUCUCUGUAUUCAAAUUUAUUUAAUCUGUGACAGACAUGAGUAAAGAUAGCUAAAGUUUGUCUUGUGCAGUGUUGUCAGCCCAGUGAUAGUACAUGCAUGGAGUAGUAUGGAAGCAUCGAUCCAGAAGGUAUUUCUGGAGCUGAAACCUGAACUUAGGAAGCAAGGGGUGAGACUCUUUGCAAAGGGAGCAGUGGAAGCAAAGGCACAAAGGCAUCAAAUAGUGACCUGCUGUCAUGUCAAUAGAUCAGAACUAAGAAGCACAUGACAAAGGCCGUUAUCGAGGAAGACUUCACAUGUGUGAAGGAGCUGAGACUUAAAUACCAGCUGUUGGAGAGUUUUAAGCAAAGGGAUGACAUGAUAGUUUGCUCUUCAGACAAAUGACAGCUAUGUAGUAGAUGGCCAUGAGAAGAAGUGGCUGUAAGAUAUAUAAGCAACUAGGGAAGGUGUCUAAUUGUUGAGGAAGAGAAGGACCUGAACUAAGAUAGAAUUAGCAGAGUAGUUGGGAGGACAGAUUUUAAAAGUUUAUUUAGGAAAGAAAAUUGGGCAAGAUCUAGAAACUGAUUAUAUUUAAGUGCUUUAAGAGCUUUGUCUGGGUUCCCAGGCUAGGGGUCUAAUCUGAGCUGAAGCCACUGGCCUACACCAGGGCCACAGCAACGAGGGAUCCAAGCCGCAUCUGCAACCUAUACCACAGCUCAUGGCAAUGCCAGAUCGUUAACCCACUGAGCAAGGCCAGGGAUCGAACCCACAAUCUCAUGGUUCCUAGUCGGAUUCGUUAACCACUGCGCCACGAUGGGAACUCCAUAUUUCCUAAAUUUUUAUUACAACUUACCAACUGGAGUGCUCUAGCUAAUAUCCCAACUAGUAACCAGUGUUAGUCAGAUCAUAACUAAAACAUGAAGGUUGCUGAUCUCUGGCAUGUCACUGAUAAUCCACUUUCUCCUUUGUUUGAAUCAGGGUCUAGGCAUGAUCCAUACAUUUGUUAUGGUUGCCGUUUCCCACUCCUCCCUUUUUUCUUCAUAUCAUUAAUUUGCUGGAGGAGCCAGGUCAUUUGUCCUGUUAACAUUUGGCUGUUUUCUUCUUCAUGUGUCCUUUUAACUUAGUCUUCUAUCCCUGUGAAGUGGUAGCUACAUUCAGAGGCUUGACUAGAUUCAGGUUCAGUAUUUUAGGAAUGAACUUUCUCAAGUGUGCUGUGUACUCUGUCCCAUAGGCACAUAACUUGUCCAAUUUUUAAUGAUCAGUGGAUUCAGGUAGGGUCAGUCUAAUUUGUGCAUUUGAAGUUCACCAUUUAUUAACCUGUCACCUAAUAAUUUUAGCAUUUCACUCAUGGUUUCAAUUAAUGGUUAUUUUCUAAACUCCGUCAUUUUUUUUUGUGUUAGCCAGAACUUCUCUGUAAGGAAUUUUACCUUAACAAUUUGUUCUCCUGAAAUACAUUUCUUAAAUUCUAGAUAAAUGGAGUGAUUU